UACAGAGGUCCCGAGCGUUGUUCGGAUUCACUGGGCGUAAAGGGUGCGCAGGUGGGUUUGCAAGUUUGAUGUGAAAGCCCCGGGCUUAACCCGGGAAUGGCAUUGAAUACUGCAGAUCUGGAGGAUUGGAGGGGGGACUGGAAUUCUUGGUGUAGCAGUGAAAUGCGUAGAUAUCAAGAGGAACACCAGUGGCGAAGGCGGCUCACUGGCCCGGUACUGACGCUGAGGUGCGAAAGCGUGGGGAGCAAACAGG
rnacentral:rRNA from 1 species